UCUCUAUCUAAAAUUUCUCCAACAUCUCUCUAAAAAUUCUUAACUCUUUAUCAUCUCAACUCUUUAUCAUUUCACUCUCAAAAAAUUCUCCAACUUUUUAUUAUUUCACUCUUGUUUUUCUUCAUUUUGCAAGUGUUAUUUUGUCUGGCGAUUUGUACAUAGGAGUAUAAUGUAGACACCACUCUUCCUCAGCAUAAAAAUAUUCAUGGUUGGUUCGUCCGUUGUCGUGGUUGGGAGCUUAGUUUAAAUAACUCCAAGUCAGACACUACCCGGCACAACAAGUAAGUA